rnacentral:rRNA from 1 species
GACGAACGCUGGCGGCGUGCUUAACACAUGCAAGUCGAACGGAAAGGCCCUGCUUUUGUGGGGUGCUCGAGUGGCGAACGGGUGAGUAACACGUGAGUAACCUGCCCUUGACUUUGGGAUAACUUCAGGAAACUGGGGCUAAUACCGGAUAGGAGCUCCUGCUGCAUGGUGGAGGUUGGAAAGUUUCGGCGGUUGGGGAUGGACUCGCGGCUUAUCAGCUUGUUGGUGGGGUAGUGGCUUACCAAGGCUUUGACGGGUAGCCGGCCUGAGAGGGUGACCGGCCACAUUGGGACUGAGAUACGGCCCAGACUCCUACGGGAGGCAGCAGUGGGGAAUAUUGCACAAUGGGCGGAAGCCUGAUGCAGCAACGCCGCGUGCGGGAUGACGGCCUUCGGGUUGUAAACCGCUUUCGCCUGUGACGAAGCGUGAGUGACGGUAAUGGGUAAAGAAGCACCGGCUAACUACGUG